rnacentral:rRNA from 1 species
GGACUUUCCUCUGACGGAGCACGCCGCGUGAGUGAUGAAGGUUUUCGGAUCGUAAAACUCUGUUGUUAGGGAAGAACAAGUACCGUUCGAAUAGGGCGGUACCUUGACGGUACCUAACCAGAAAGCCACGGCUAACUACGUGCCAGCAGCCGCGGUAAUACGUAGGUGGCAAGCGUUGUCCGGAAUUAUUGGGCGUAAAGCGCGCGCAGGCGGUCUUUUAAGUCUGAUGUGAAAGCCCCCGGCUCAACCGGGGAGGGUCAUUGGAAACUGGGAGACUUGAGUGCAGAAGAGGAGAGUGGAAUUCCACGUGUAGCGGUGAAAUGCGUAGAGAUGUGGAGGAACACCAGUGGCGAAGGCGACUCUCUGGUCUGUAACUGACGCUGAGGCGCGAAAGCGUGGGGAGCGAACAGGAUUAGAUACCCUGGUAGUCCACGCCGUAAACGAUGAGUGCUAAGUGUUAGAGGGUUUCCGCCCUUUAGUGCUGCAGCAAACGCAUUAAGCACUCCGCCUGGGGAGUACGGCCGCCAAGGCUGAAACUCAAAGGAAUUGACGGGGGCCCGCACNAAGCGGUGGAGCAUGUGGUUUAAUUCGAAGCACCGCGAAGAACCUUACCAGGUCUUGACAUCCUCU